GGAGAACAUGAGGACAAGAUGAAUUAAACUUCAAAAGGGGACGGAGCCAUUUCACGGACAUUUACCAGAUACUGGUGGACUAGACCAAAAGUGAAACCUCCUGCACUCAUAGCCAUUAGGAAACAAAGAUACGGCACAGGGAGUGAGCCUGCAUUAAACUCACUGAUACAAACUCA